CACAUUCACUGGCAGGAACAAGUUGGGUAGGGGUGAUUGGUCAGUACAAAAGGGGUAUUCGUUUGAACUGAUUGGUUUAAGCCAAGAGGGGUGUACUUGCUGAACUACAUGGUUUCCCAACUUGUUAUCAACCACCAUAAACUACUGGGAGGGUUAUCUGGCAUCCCAGGUAUUUCCCUGUUUCAUGCUAAUUGGCUGCUAGGGGGUUGCUAUGGAUCUCCACCUAGCCUGACUGAGUCAGGGACACCUGGCGCAGCAGAUCUCUCCUGUUAUUUGUAGAUAAACAACUUAGCAGGGUGGGAAUGUGCCUAGGAGUGCUCUGUGCGUUUUUCCAAGGGCAAAGGCCAUGUCCCUUCCUUGGACAGGCUUUGCUCUGAGAUAGAGGCUGGUUUUUCAGGCUCAAGUGGCCCUCUUGCCUCAGCCUCCCAAGUGUUGGGACUGCAGACAUGCACUACCAUGCUUGGCACGAGCUCACUUUUUGACCAUUUCUCUUAUGUGAGUAUCAACACAACCAGAGCCCAUGCCUUUCAUUUACCGGCCUCAAGCCAUUCAAUUGCUUGCUAAAUGUUUCUUUUUCCUUCCAAUCUUGCCCCAAAAGCAAAUGAACACCUGGCAUCUUGGAUAUUUAUUUGAGAUCUCAGCCAUACAAAUUUCCCAAGCACUGUCUUUUCAAAUAAGUUGUGUGUCAGAACAAGAGCACAUGUUUGCCACUGACCUCAGCUCGGGGCUCCAACCUGGCAGGAGUUCUGUUUCAGGGCUUCUCACAGGUAGGGGCUAUUGCUGUGGCUUAUGCAAAAUAGGCAUUUAAAGCCUGAGUCCACACUCACAGAGUAGGAAGGAACUCCUUGCUGUGACUGUGAUGAACACCUAAUGUGAGCACUAGGAGGCCACAUCUGUGAGUCUUUAAUUAGUGCCCCCUGCAGGUUCCCCUACCAGGGCAAUAGGAGGGCACCAUUAACAACACCUGGCAGAGAUGCUCAAUUCUAACCCUAUAAGCCUUGGUUACCACCUCAAAUGUGAAACCUGCCAUGCUACUUCUUCCACAUUUACCUUGAUACUUCUUGCUGCUGGGUUUCUGGUAAAUCCUAAAACCCUAUCUAGUGGAAUGGCUGCCCCAUUGUAAACAACGCCCCUGUACCCAUGGACUGUUUUCAGAAUAUGUGCUUCUCACCUCUUUGCCAUGGCUGCAGCUACCCCAUAAUUGAAUCUUCUCACCCAUUUCCUGUUCUGUUUAUGAAGGAAUCUGAACCCCAAUGAGUGCCUGGUCUGGUGAACUGCCUUUUAAUCCUUAUAAAUCAUUUUACAAAAUGCUAGAAACAGUUUAAAAACGAUAGGCCCAGUGGUGGUUUAUUUUUGCCAAUAAGUAUUUUCUGAAAACUAAUGAGAAUUCAAA
rnacentral:lncRNA from 1 species